UUAUCCCUAGGGAGGCAGCAGUAGGGAAUUUUCGUCAAUGGGCGCAAGCCUGAACGAGCAAUGCCGCGUGAACGAGGAAGGUCUUCGGAUCGUAAAGUUCUGUUGAAGGGGAAAAAGAGCGGAGAGAGGAAAUGGUCUCCGAUUGAUAUUACCCUUCGAGGAAGUCACGGCUAACUACGUGCCAGCAGCCGCGGCAAUACGUAGGUGGCGAGCGUUAUCCGGAAUGAUUGGGCGUAAAGGGUGCGUAGGCGGCCUGCUAAGUCUGGAGUGAAAGGUCCCGGCUCAACCGGUACAGUCUCUGGAAA
rnacentral:rRNA from 1 species